AAAGAAAAUGGCGGAAAAUAUGCAACCGAAGUACGACGAGCGGAAACAAAUUAAUUGCUUUACCUAAUUAUGACAAAUGUGGAGAAAGAAGCGUAUGCGCAGGCUGAAGCGCAAGAGGCGAAAGAUGAGGCAGAGGUCCAAGUAGACUGCCUCCCCCUACAACACCAUGGCUGUGACCCUUCUGGACACAACACGGGACCAAGGAUCUCAUGUGCAAAGUCUGAUCAGAGCUGUGCCAUCAUUGCCAAUGAGAGGCUGCAAAGAGACAGUUCUACUGUUGUCUUGGUCAAGAGACUCCACCACCUGCCUGGGAAAUUUGAUAUGGGGACAUUCUGGAUUCUCUACUCUUCUACCAAACCUACCCUACUCCAUUGCUUUUGUUUAUAAUUUCCAAUAAAGUUUUUGGUUUAAAGUUG
rnacentral:lncRNA from 1 species